rnacentral:lncRNA from 1 species
CUAGCUUUAUUUCAAAAUUCAAACCAAGUUCGUUGGGGGUAUAGGACAGAGAAAGCGAGAGAUAAAGAGAGAGAAGGGAGAAGUUGAGAGACCCAAUUCCAUUUGUUUCUUGGAUCCUCGGUAUUUCGAUGGUCGAAGUGGCUCUCUCGCUCUCUAUAUAUGUUGUGAAUUUUUGUUUGCUUGAAUCUGAGCAUGGAAUCACAAUCAAAUUAUGGGUGCUCUCUCUCUCUCUCUGUGUCUUCUUUCUUUUGCCUUGAUUCUCAUAUUGUUUUCUGACAAUAUAUUGGUGUUGCCUUGGAUUAAUUGGUGGUGCCCGAUUUGCCUUGAAUAUUGUUGCCUUGAAAAAAGAGAGGGAUUGUUGUUGCCUCUUCUUUCAUUUGAGAGAGGUCAUCGCCUUUUCUUCUCUUGUGUCGGCGUUGAUGCCCAUAUGUUGCCCUGUCCCAAGAAUCUACAUGAAUCUGAGCAUGAAAUUAGAAUCAAAAUGUUGGUGCUCCCUCUCUUUUAUUGGGGUUCAAGUACCAUUUUUUAUUUGUGUUGCUUUUUCUUUGAUUCUCUGGUAUUGCCUCGAUUUUUACCCAGAAUUACUGGUGCCCAGUUCAUGAUUCUGUUGCCUUCGGUUGAUAUGAUAUCUUCUAUUCUAUUUAAAAGUUGCCUUGGAUUAAUACGUUGCCUUCGGUUUAUGAGUUGCCUUCGGUUAAUAUGUUGCCUUUGAUUUAUGGGUUGCCUUCGAUUAAUUGGUGGUGCCUAGUUCAUGAUUAUGUUGCCUAAGAGAUAUUAUUGUUGUCUUGAAAGUAACAAUUGAUCCUUUAAAAAAGGGUAUUAAGAGAGAUUGUUCGAAAGAGGGAUUAUUGUUGCCUUUCAAAGUUCAUGAUUAGCGAAUCUGAUCUGAGUAUUGGUCAUUUGAGCUUGCGAAUUUCUAAUGCAGUGAGCUGUAGUAAAGAGAGAUUAUUGUUGCCUUUCAAAGUUCAUGAUUCUGCACUUUGAUUUAUGAGUUGCCUCCGGUUAAUUGGUGGUCCAGUUCAUGAUUCUGUUGCCUAAGAUAUUAUUAUUAUUAUUAUUGUUUCCUUGAAAGUUCAUGCUCUUAUUGUUAGAAAGUUACAAUUGAUCCCUAAAAAGAUGGUAUCAAGAGAGAAUGUUGGAAAGAGAGAUUAUUGUUGCCUCUAUGAUUGUUGCCUUUAAGAUUGUUGCCUUUCAAAGUUCACGAUUAGCGAAUCUGACCUAAGUAUGGUCAUUUGAGCUUGCAAAUUUCUAAUACCGUGAGCUUGCAAAGUGAGAUUAUUGUUGCCUUUUAAACUUGAGUUGGUAUUGAACCAUUCAGGUAAGAUAGCGCAAGCUGGCUUUCCAACGAGAACUCUUUGAGGCUAUAGGCUCCAAGAUUGUUGCCUUGUAAUCUAAUAUUGUUCAUUUUUGUAUAGAAUUGAGAGACCCAUUUCACCACACCAUAACAAGUAAAUUCUUAACUUUUUCUCCUUUCCUAUUUCUUCUUCCAUCAAAUGCCCAAAAGCUACGGUUUCUGUAAAGAAUUGAAUCUUGAUUCUUCUCGAUUUUGACUCUAGUGUUCAACUCUUUCUUUUUGCAGAUGAAUUGGAAAUGGGAAAAUUGGUAUUCACGGUGUUUGGAUUCGUGUCUGAGAUGAUGAUUCUCUUGUUUGUUGUCCCCAAUUGUCCUCUAAGAUGUAAGAAUGAUUUACCAUUUGAAAGGUUCACUUGGUAGUUAUGCAUGUGUCAUAUAAUCUGCAUUAGACCCUUUGUCGCUGCAUAAUACAUAGUAAUGAGCUAUAAGUAAGCUGGAAAAGAGAUAUUAUUGUGGCUUCUAAGCUUUAAGACUCUUCUUCACCAAGCAAUGAGCUAUGACAAAGCUAGCAAUUAGUUUUCUAUAGGGACAAAAAGGAAAACAAACAGAGACCUAAUUCCAAUUUCUAGAUGAUGGCUUCAUUCAUCAGGGCUUUGUUUACAAAUUGUACUACAAGACCAACAAUGACCAUAGUGAAUGACUGUAGGUUAUUUUGAGUUUAAUUAGGUAUGCUGUUUGUUCCUAUUCUAUUUCUAUAUAGAUGGUUCAUUUGCUUUAGUUGCAUAUAAUUGUGCCCCUAUUUGAUUUCAUUAUUCGUAGGUUGUUUGUUCCUACUACAAUUUUUGUAUAUGUUUCAUUUGCUUUAGGCGUAUAUAAUUAUGCCCGUAUUUGCUUUCAUUAUUCAUAUAUAUAUUUUGUUUAUUGGAAGGAAUAGUGAAUGUUUGUGUGUUGCUGUUUUGUACAAAUUGGUCAUUCUAGAAUUGGAACCCUGAUAAAAACUUCUUUUAGGAUUGCAGUUAAGUGCUCAGUGUUGAAUUAGUCUUGAUAUGCAGUGCAGUUUUUUUGUGUUUGCAUUACUAGGAUUUGGUAUUGUGAAUGACCUGAAAGUUUGUAGUCUUGGACUUUUUUAUGUGUAGUUAUGAUCUGGAAAAUUUCUUAUACUUUCAUCCAAUGGUUUGACUAUAGAAAUUUUAUAAAGUUAAUUGCUGAUUUUUCUAGCAGAUUUUGGAAAAGUGAGAAUUAGUGAAUUAGAAAUCAUUGAAUUAUGUUUGUAGAACUAUGCUAUAGUUUAGUUUAGAGAUUUCUUUAUGAUUCCUUGACCACAGGGGAAUAGUGUGGAUUGUGUGAUAAGAAUUAUGUGUAAUGGCUCCUCCCUUUCCAGUUGUGAAUAUAUGUGUUUGAGUUCAUAAAAUUUCUUGCUUAUUAGUUGUGAGUAAGGGUUUAUGUACCGACCAAAGCACAGUAGUGCUUACAAAUCCUUAGUUUUGGGUUGACACAAAAUAACUUAGACUUGUUGAAGUUUUGUCCUGGUUAUAGUUGCUAUUAUUAACUUAGUCUACCAAUUAUGAGGUUUCACUCAACUGUUUUAAUUUUGUUUGAUUCUUUUCUUUAGGCUUCCACUUAUUUGACUCCCUUUAUUAGAGGAAUUGGAUUGCAGCUAGCGUUCUGUUUAUCACCUUUUGGCAUCCGUUACCUUGUCAUGAUCUUUUGUGUUCCAUGGCUUCGUAGUUUCUAUUCAUAUAGCACUUUAUAUUUUAUUCUGUAAGUUCUUAAUCAUUAUAUUCAGUUCUUUGCUGAUUUUUGCCCUCUUAACAAUCUUUCCUGAUUCGUUGUUUUUGUAGUUGGAUAAUUCGAGUGAUGGAUAUCAGUUAUGAUUUAGAGUGCUAGUAUCCACUCUAGCAAAAAUGAGAGACAAAAAAGAAAAUUAGGUAGCAAAGGUCUAUAAAUCAUUGUGUAAACGAGUUUAUUGCUUUGAGUUCAACUUAUUCUUUAAAAAAUUUAUUCCUUCUUGAAGUCUUCUUGAGUUGGUUUAAAUUGGGGUCGUCAUGCUUUCUUUAUGUGUUUUAGAAUUUUUUUGGUGAAAAACACACACACAAACACUCUUCUGAUGAGUUUGAUAUUUCGUUGUUGUAAUGUUUUUCUUGAACUGAUUGCAUUUAUGAGUGACGGCCUUUGAUUUUGGAAUAAUACUGGAUAAUUGAUGUCGGUAGUUCAUAUGAUUGUCUUGGAUGGUUUGAAUUUAAUUAGACUAUAUACUGGUUUUUUUUGUAGUAAUUGCUACAAGAUGUCAAGAUGGUUUCCUUUUAUUAGUAUUUGGGCACAUAAAUUGUACCUUUUGCAUCUGUGAUGCACAUAACUUAGUUGCUUAUAACUUUUGCUGGAUUCUUUUCGCUGGUUUAGUAAGUUUUCAAUUUCUGUGUUCUUUGACUAUCUUUGUAUUCUCAUGGGAUACAGCUUUAGUUAUUGCAAGAACCUGAAAAUUUAAGUAUAUAUUCUUGUGAUAGUAUUCUCUCUACGAGCUUACGUGUCGUAUGUGUAUUCAAGCAGUCAAUCACCUAUUAUAAGUAGACUUUUAGGAGAGUAGUUAUACAUAACUGGUUUUGGGCAUUUUUGGAUGAGUCCUUGUACACCCGAUCAAUGAAUCUGUUUCUUGUGGUUGAGUAACGAGCAUAGCUUAAAUAGUUUAGUUAACCAAAAUGUGAGUUAUCAGGUUUUAGCAUGAAGUGGGAAUGAGACAUCUUCAACUAGGCCAUAUGUUCUAAUGUAGCAGCUAAUGACAUUUGUAAGCUCAUGUGCUUUUCUGAUCAAGUACAAAUGCAUCUCUUGUUAGUGGUAAGUUUGGCUGGAUAUAUAUGAACAAGAUCGAUAGCCUUAAUAACCAAGUCGAGUUAGCCUAGGGUAGUAAUGUUUGAUAUGGAUAGACAACAUUAGGAUCCACCUGAUUAUUGUGGCCGGUGAUGUUUACUUUAGAUGUAUUGUCGGUGCCAUCUAAAAGAAAUCUCUGAUGCAUUGACCUCUAGCUUCAGAGACCUCUUCUAAUUAGCUGUUAUUCAUUCUUGUUCAAGUUUCUGAUUCAUUAGGUUAUAGCGAAGUUGAUUUUUUUUUUUUUUUCUAUGUGAAAAAACUUCCCUAACCAGCCAUGGUUAGGGACAACUGACCAUAGCCAGUGAGUAUUUAGAAUAGUGUUUUAGUGCUAUACGUUGCCAAUAGGCAUUUUGGAGCUGAGAUUCUGACAUUUUCAUUCUAAUUAUUAAGGUUUAUGCAUUCAGAUGUUCCCACAUUCAUAAUUUUAGAAGAUUCAUUUUCUUGCUGUAAUUUAGUGUUGUAAUGGAAUUAAAGCAUAGAACUUAGCUGUACUUUCAACCAAGAUCCGAACUUUAUUAAUGACAUGUUAGUUGGGUAUGAUCUAUACAUAGUUUGCAAAGCAUGUUCCUAGAGUAGUUUAAUUGUAAUAUGAGAAAUUUGAUGAUUAAGGCAACAAAUUAGAGUCUCUGAUGCUCUUUUUGUUUUUAUAAGGUUUUCAGUGGUGUACGUUGGUAAGAGUAAUUCUUAGGGAAUUGAUAUUCUAGCAUAAUCCUUUUUUCUUUAAGGUUUAUGCAUUCAAACAUUCCACAUUUUAAUUCAUGUUUUCUCAGUACUGGUUUGUUUUACUUGCAAAUUGUACUUUUAUUUAUUUUAAGAAAAUAAGCUAUGUUUGCUUUUCCUGAGAUAUUGGAUUAUGCAAAUUAGAUUCUCUAAUGCACUUAUUGCUAUGGGGCUUUCAGUGCUGUACGUUGGCAUUAGUAGAAAUGUCCAAAGGACAUUUUGUGUCUGAUAUCCGGUGUGAAUUCAAGUAUUACAUGCAUCACUAUCAUGAUGCCCGUAAAAACUCGAGUGCUCCACUUAUGGUUGUUGGAUGUAAGAGAAUACAUACACAUAAUGAUCAAAGUUUGAGGAUAAUGAGAUUUUGGAAUGUAAUCUAUGCUUGAUGUGCACAAUGGCAACACUAGGAUCCAGCUGAUUGUUAACAGGAUUCACUUUGCAAUCAAAAACAUAACUUUAGUAAUUAGUAACCCUCUCGCAGUGUGCAGUUGGGAGAGGCUAGAUUUUUGGAAGGUAGAUUAGACUCAUUAGAGUCAUGAAUGUCAAAGAACCAUGUUUUGACAUGGACAACAACCCCACAGCAGAAACUUGGUCCAACCAUCUUUGAGAUGGGAGCAGUCCUAGGUAGGCCAGGGAACGCUUAAAAACUCAAUUUUUGCUCCCAGGUUCGUCUACCAUUGCGCCAUCUACAGUAUGAUAAUGUGUAUCUACAAAGGUAUGAUUUAAAACUUGUUUCGAGUAUGGGAAACACAAUAAUUAUUUUGCAAUGAAUCUCCGGCUCGAAGGCUCGGACCAAAGCUUAAACGAAACGACAGUACCCUCUCCUCUCCAAAAAAAGAAAAACGACGCAGACAUACAGUAAAUGCCAAUCACCAAUUAAUAUAGCUCUUGCUGUUUUUCCACUUAUAAAACUAGUCGAAUGUGCUAUACUUAGGUUAAACAGACACGAAAUAUGAAAUUAAACUUUCAUUCAAAACAAACAACAAACAUAUGCAUGCUGUUCUCCAGUUUCGACUGCCAUCUUUUAUCAAUUUUCUUUCAUAUUUUUCUGUCAAACAGCCUCCAUUCUUUACAGUUACCAGAAUAUCCCUUAGUCAUCACCAUCCCCCAAUAGUAGAAAACAUGCAGUUGGAAUCUAGUGCUUGAAUAUUAGUAAAACAAUGAAAUUAACAAACUUAGGCAAACCUAGUUUCAGCAGAAUGUGCAUCACAUUAACUCAUAUAUACACAAUUACACAUUAUACCUAUGAUAUGAAGCAAAAGCUAAAAAUAUCCAAUUCAUGUAUAUGUUGUCAUAUCAAACAUAAAAUUCAAGAGCAACAUGAGUGCUUAUUAAAUUCACCAAUGCAAUCCAAGAAUACGAUUAGUUGAUGCUUCUAGAGUUAUGUUACCACUUUCUUGCAAUUUUAAAUUAUUCAGAGGCUGCCCGAGAAGUGAAGGCCUAUAGAAGACAUGGCUCUGCGCAAUCUCAAUGCGCUCCCUUGGAUCAUUUAAAUUCUCAUCCCUCAAUGCUUGAAGAAUAGCUUGUGAUGAUUGCUCCCUGGAUAUCAAACAGUACACAUAUAUAGCAGAGUAUUAAUCUCAGCCUUUUAGUUAGGUGAUAAGGACAUGGAUAUGAAGUCGCUUGCAAGAAAUCGGAAUUAUCGUCCUAAAUCUGCGAGUUGGAGAUACCUUGUUAGCAAUAUUUUAUAAAGUGUCUUCAAGAUGGGGCAGAGCUCUACUGGAGAAACAUGCUUGUUUUCUUCAGGAUGCAACACAUUCAGGCUCGAUUGACUGAGAAGUUCAUAAAAUGUUUGGAUUGCAGAAACACCCUAGAAGCAGAGAAUACACCCACUCAGGGCAGUUUUCAUCAGUAAAUUGGAAGUUAGAAGAACAUGAAACUAUCGAAAAAUCAAUGAAAAGACAUUUAGGUAGAGUUCGGUAACAUUUUCAUGCUUGUAUUUUCAUUUUUGAAAAUAAAAAUGUGUUCGGUGAGACAUUUUUGUAAAAUGUGGAAAAUAGAAAAUGAGAUUAUUUCAACUUUUAAAAAGAAAAACUGAAAUCAUCAAUUUGACAUUUUCACUUUUUCAUUCUCCUAGUUUACAAAAUAUGUAACAUAUUUCAAUAAACUACCGAAUACAUUGCCAAAUUUUGAAAAUUACAAUCACAUUUUCUCAUUUUUAUUUUAAAAAAUUAUUUUUGAAAAUUGUUUUCAAAAACGUUACCAGACAGACCCUUAGCUUUUCAGGCCCUCCACUAAUUGACAGAGGAGCCAAGUUUCAGGAAUCCCAAAUCUUCCUUAAUGCUCAUCAAGCGUAAUUACAUUCUUCAACAAUUCUCUUACAGUUCAAAAUAAUGACAUAUAUGUGCGAUGUUUAAAGCAGAUAUGCCUCAUC